GCCGGGCCGGGGCGGCGGCUGGACCGCAGGACCUCGCGCGGCGUUCGCGGGCUCCGGGGCGGCGGCGGAGCCCCCUCCCCGGGGAGGCGGGGCCCGGGCGAGCUCCCCGGCGGGGGGAGCGGCGGCGGCGCGGAACGAUGCAUCAGAAGCUGCUGAAGAGCGCGCAUUACAUCGAGCUGGGGAGCUACCAGUACUGGCCCGUCCUGGUGCCCCGCGGCAUCCGCCUCUACACCUACGAGCAGAUCCCCGUGUCCCUCAAGGACAACCCGUACAUCACCGACGGCUACCGGGCCUACCUGCCCUCCAGGCUGUGUAUCAAAAGUUUGUUUAUUUUAUCUAAUGAGACCGUAAACAUCUGGAGUCAUUUGCUGGGUUUCUUCCUCUUCUUUACACUGGGAAUAUAUGACAUGACGUCAGUGUUACCUUCGGCAAGUGCGUCCAGAGAAGAUUUUGUAAUUUGUUCUAUUUGUCUUUUCUGCUUCCAGGUCUGUAUGCUUUGCUCUGUGGGCUAUCAUCUUUUUUCUUGCCAUCGAUCAGAAAAAACCUGUCGAAGAUGGAUGGCUUUAGAUUAUGCAGGAAUUUCUAUUGGAAUACUGGGCUGCUAUGUCUCUGGGGUGUUUUAUGCAUUUUACUGUAAUAAUUAUUGGCGCCAAGUGUACUUGAUCACAGUGCUUGCUAUGAUCCUAGCGGUGUUCUUUGCACAGAUCCAUCCCAAUUACCUCACACAGCAGUGGCAGAGGCUCCGUUCUAUCAUCUUCUGUUCUGUGUCAGGAUAUGGAGUGAUCCCCACUCUUCACUGGGUUUGGCUCAAUGGAGGAAUCGGUGCUCCUAUUGUACAGGACUUUGCACCCCGUGUAAUUGUGAUGUAUGUGAUUGCUCUUCUUGCUUUCCUAUUCUACAUUUCCAAAGUUCCUGAACGGUAUUUUCCAGGACAACUAAACUACCUCGGAUCAAGCCACCAAAUAUGGCAUAUCCUUGCAGUAGUGAUGUUAUAUUGGUGGCACCAGUCAACAGUGUAUGUCAUGCAGUACAGACAUAGCAAGCCUUGCCCUGACUAUGUUUCACAUUUGUGAAUUCAGAAUCAGGAAUGAAGAUUCAGGGAGUAUCUGUCAUCUUAUGGCAUCCCACCUGGACAAAGUAACCGAUUUGAAGAUUGUGAUUGACUGGCAUAGAGCUGUGCAACACCAUUUGGCAGGAGUUAACGCCAAGAGUCUGUCAGAAGUAUCUACUGUUUAGAAGGAAAUGGAGCAGCACCAAAUGGGUCUAAUUCAACUGACUGGGACUGUUGGGACUGAUGUGAAGUGAUGCUUUGCACCACAAGUUCUG